CUUCAGCCUUUUCACAUCCUUGGGUCAAAUUUUCACCCAUCUUUUGCUUUUGAUUUGUCACUUUUUUUGCGAGACUUAAUUGUUAAUUUCGAAGCCUUCCUUGUUAGGUGCUAGACCAGAUGGAGUCCAAGAAAAACCAAUCCGCUACGCCAGAGUCUGAAUCUACUCCACGUUCGAUCUCUCCAUGUGGAGGGGUGAAAUAUGACAAUGCAGGGCUCGUUGCUACUAUGAGGAAUAGCUUUAGUCGGUUUAUUCAUGCUUCCAUGGAUGAACACAUGACUUGUUUCGUAGAAUCCCUUGGGCAGCUGCUUGACAACAGGGAGUUCGGGAGCUAUACUGCCUAUACAAACAUGUUGAUUUUUUUCCCAAAGAGCUGGGCUUGAUGAAGCUGAGAGUUCUCUGUGUCCCUUUCUAUAGUAGCAAUUAGCAAGAAAAUAAGUAGUCUUUGUCAUGCUUUAUUUUGAGAUGUGAAAGUUAGGUGCAAAAGCUUUUUAGGGGAAUGUCAUAUCAUUGUUUUUUCCUUUUAUUUCUUAGUGGCAUAGGAGAGAAGGUUAUGGAUCUAUUGCCUUUUGGUGUCAAAACACUGUUUUAAUAAUAAGUAAUUUUAUCUUUUCAUAUGUA